UACAGAGGGUGCAAGCGUUAAUCGGAAUUACUGGGCGUAAAGGGCUCGUAGGCGGCCAACUAAGUCAGACGUGAAAUCCCUCGGCUUAACCGGGGAACUGCGUCUGAUACUGGAUGGCUUGAGUGUGGGAGAGGGAUGCGGAAUUCCAGGUGUAGCGGUGAAAUGCGUAGAUAUCUGGAGGAACACCGGUGGCGAAGGCGGCAUCCUGGACCACGACUGACGCUGAGUGAGCGAAAGCCAGGGGAGCAAACGGG
rnacentral:rRNA from 1 species